rnacentral:rRNA from 1 species
AGCAGCCGCAGUAAUUCCAGCUCCAAUAGCGUAUAUUAAAGUUGUUGCAGUUAAAAAGCUCGUAGUUGAAUUUCGGGGUUAGUAGGUUGGUCAUGCCUCUGGUAUGUACUGGUCUCACUGAUUCCUCCUUCCUGAUGAGCCGUAAUGCCAUUAAUUUGGUGUUGCGAGGAAUUUGGACUGUUACUUUGAAAAAAUUAGAGUGUUUAAAGCAGGCUCACGCUUGAAUACAUUAGCAUGGAAUAAUGAAAUAGGACGUUUGAUUCUAUUUCGUUGGUUUCUAGGAUCGACGUAAUGAUUAAUAGGGAUAGUUGGGGGCAUUAGUAUUCAAUUGUCAGAGGUGAAAUUCUUGGAUUUAUUGAAGACUAACUACUGCGAAAGCAUUUGCCAAGGAUGUUUUCAUUAAUCAAGAACGAAAGUUAGGGGAUCGAAGACGAUCAGAUACCGUCGUAGUCUUAACCAUAAACUAUGCCGACUAGGGAUCGGAUGAUGUUAAUUUUUAAUG